CCUACGGGUGGCUGCAGUGGGGAAUUUUGGACAAUGGGCGAAAGCCUGAUCCAGCAAUGCCGCGUGAGUGAAGAAGGCCUUCGGGUUGUAAAGCUCUUUUGUUUGGGAAGAAAUCCCUAAGGAUAAUACCCUUGGGGGAUGACGGUACCAAAAGAAUAAGCACCGGCUAACUACGUGCCAGCAGCCGCGGUAAUACGUAGGGUGCAAGCUGGGAGCGGAAUUACUGGGCGCAAUGUUGUCGCAGGCGUUUGAAAUCCCCGAGCUCAACUUGGGAACUGCACUUGUGACUGCAAGACUAGAGUGUGUCAGAGGGAGGUAGAAUUCCACGUGUAGCAGUGAAAUGCGUAGAUAUGUGGAGGAAUACCAGUGGCGAAGGCGGCCUCCUGGGAUAACACUGACGCUCAUGUACGAAAGCGUGGGGAGCAAACAGGAUUAGAUACCCGAGUAGUC
rnacentral:rRNA from 1 species